GGGUUAGUAUUUUAAUCGGUAAAUUACUUCAUUGUCAUCGAGGUUUAUAUCGGUUCGAAUCCGAUUUAACCCG
rnacentral:tRNA from 1 species